CAGUCGCCACGGUAAUACGUAGGGUGCGAGCGUUAAUCGGAAUUACUGGGCGUAAAGCGUGCGCAGGCGGUUGUGUAAGACAGGUGUGAAAUCCCCGGGCUUAACCUGGGAACUGCGCUUGUGACUGCACAGCUAGAGUAUGGCAGAGGGGGGUGGAAUUCCACGUGUAGCAGUGAAAUGCGUAGAGAUGUGGAGGAACACCGAUGGCGAAGGCAGCCCCCUGGGCCAAUACUGACGCUCAUGCACGAAAGCGUGGGGAGCAAACAGGAUUAGAUACCCGGUAGUCCCUGUCUCUUAUACA
rnacentral:rRNA from 1 species